GCCCUCGUAGCUCAGUGGAUAGAGCACUUGGUUGCGGACUAAGGGGUCGUGCGUUCGAGUCGCACCGAGGGCGCAA
rnacentral:tRNA from 1 species